AGAACAAGAUGCUGUGCUAUUGCUGGCUACAAGCUUUCUUCUCCCUGAGGGUGGUGGAAGAGGGGUGAACUCUCCCUCUCUAGAACAUAACUCUGCUUUAUGACCACUGAGGCAGAAAAUUUGUAAUCCAUUCAGAGGGAGAGAAGAAAGUCAUCCAGCUCAUGUUAGCUAAGAGCAAUGAUCAUUUUUAAUCAGCAGUGUCACCUGCUUGGGCAUGUUACUAUCUGUGCCAAAAAAAGGCUAGUAUUGAGACUGAAACAGGAAACUGGUGGGGUCCAUGAAGAUGUACUGAAUGUGAACAACGGCAGUAGAAGAAGGAGAAAUUCUAUCCCUGGAGAGGAGAGUGGAAAAAGAAAGGGCUGAACCCAAAGAGAUGUAAAGAAGAAAAUGAAGAUUGAUCUUUUAUCAAACUGGAACCUGUACAUCCAAGACUGCAGACAUUUCAGCAGUCCAGAUCUCAGACUGUCACCUUGUGCCACCUCCUCACAAAGCUAAGUCAUUUCAGAGGUGUGUGGGUUGGGAGUGGGCAGGUUAUGAUGGGAGUGAGAACUGCUUAAUUCAGUCCAUAGAUGAAAUAGGUUGCAGAAAGUGCAGAGGUUAAUUAAAAUUGUAAUAGCAGCAGCCUUAGCAGGCAGGUUACAACUUUCAAUUAAAUGUGUGGCUGUGGGCAGGUUGUUUAUGCCUCUGCUAUUGUCUUGCAUCAAAGAGUGCACUGAAAUGCCUGAUCAGUGGGUCCCGCUAAGCUAUCUCCUGUACAGAGACAAGCUUAGUGCUUACAGCAAGAAUUGAAGAAAAACUGUUUUCUGACUCACUGUACUAGGAUCAUUACAAGAAGAACAGAGGGGAGCCAGGUCAGCUGGCAGACAUGGGCUCUGCAGGAGGCUGUUCAUUCUAACCUGUACAAAAUUGUUUCUCCUUUGCCUGAAGGUUGGUCCUGGCCAGGAGGAACAGGAGUAGCAAAAGGGGAAAUGCAAAAAACAGUGUACUCUGGCUGUUUCUCCUUCAUCUGGGUAAUCCUUGGGGCCUGUAUCAAGGAAUCAAUUAAUGUUACCUUAAAUAGACUGUUUUAUCAGGACAUCUGCUCCUUUUCACUUUCCCUUCCUCCCUCUUCCACCAGUACUGUCAAUAGCGGAUUGUGAGUUUGAUAUGUGAGAAAGAGAUCCUGACUAGAUUUACCUGGUUUUGGGGCUCACUUUAUUUGAGAUGAGAGUAGUUAUCAGAAGGUAACUAAUUCACCUCCACAGACACUACUUACUCGUGUCAGAAUGGAAUUAUUUUUGCCAGAGUUAAGUGAGGAAGUUAAGGUUUUUCCUUUUGGCAGUAUCGCUGGAAACAAAGCAAAAUAAAGCAAAACAGAACAAAACAAAAAGCAAACAAAAUAUGUUAAAAUAGUAAGAGCCAUUCAGGAAAGACAAAGGAGAAUUUAAGAAAAGCACAAAGAUUUUGAGCUACAUUUUCAAAGUGACCUGAGGCAUGCUUGGAGUCUGCUAAGCUUUUUUCAUUCAUGGACACAACAAAAAAACUGAGAGAAUCACAUGCACAACAUUGAUUUUCACUUGAAUGGUGCAAGGUAGUGUACAAAGGCUUGGGCACAAAAGGAAAAGUCUAUAAUUUAGGUGUACAAAGGAUGGUAGCGAACUACUGCGUUCUAUCAUGAGGGUGUAGGCACAGAAAAAUAGAGGAAACCUUUUGUAAAACUGAAAUUUGUCAGAUGAAUAAUUUAUGCAAAAUAAGGAAGAAAGAAAGGAAGGAAGAAUGAAAGAAAGAAAGAAGAAAUCUAUGCAAUACAUGUGAAUAACCAUUCUGUAAAUGAUACUAAACAAUUAUCCUGGAAAACAAAGUAACAGUAGACCUGAAAAUCUCAGUUUACCACGAUGCAAGGAAAUUUUCAGUGAUAUUUUAGAGUGAAUGGCUAUUUUAACAAUCUUGGAACAAAUAAAAUCUUUCUUAAU
rnacentral:lncRNA from 7 species